UAAAUUUUUUCAAUUAAAUCAAUAUUCAUGCGAAUUACAUUUAGAUCAAGACGAAAUAAAAUAUGCACUCCAUUUUGUUUUCUAUAUGUUUUUGUUCCUUCAAGGAGUCCUGAAACAGAAAUAAUCAAUUUAUUAAUUAGUAAAAUAUUCAACAAUUUGGGAAUGUUUAGUAAUAAUUAAUUACUUGAUUUCAUUAUUUACAUGGAAUCAAUUAAGCAAGAGAUCAACACAAAAUUAUCCCAAUCCAAACAACAUAUUCAUCAUCACUUAAUCAAAUUAGAAAUUAAAAUCAUUCCUCCAAUAUUUUCCAUCACUUUCCCAAAUAAGUGAAAGUGAUUUACUCUCUUCAUUUUCCACCCAAAUUUUAUUUUCUCCCCUUUUCCAAACAGACGGUUAGGUUUGGUCCUAGAUUAA
rnacentral:lncRNA from 1 species